rnacentral:rRNA from 1 species
AUUGAACGCUGGCGGCAUGCCUUACACAUGCAAGUCGAACGGCAGCACGGGCUUCGGUCUGGUGGCGAGUGGCGAACGGGUGAGUAAAGUAUCGGAACGUACCUUUCAGUGGGGGAUAACGUAGCGAAAGUUACGCUAAUACCGCAUAUUCUGUGAGCAGGAAAGCAGGGGAUCGCAAGACCUUGCGCUGAUUGAGCGGCCGAUAUCAGAUUAGCUAGUUGGUGGGGUAAAGGCCUACCAAGGCGACGAUCUGUAGCGGGUCUGAGAGGAUGAUCCGCCACACUGGAACUGAGACACGGUCCAGAAUCCUACGGGAGGCAGCAGUGGGGAAUUUUGGACAAUGGGGGCAACCCUGAUCCAGCCAUGCCGCGUGAGUGAAGAAGGCCUUCGGGUUGUAAAGCUCUUUCGGCCGGGAAGAAAUCGCAUGGGCUAAUACCCUGUGUGGAUGACGGUACCGGAAUAAGAAGCACCGGCUAACUACGUGCCAGCCGCCGCAGUAACAC